UUUCCGUAGGUGAACCUGCGGAAGGAUCAUUACUGAGUGAGGGCCUCUCGGGGUCCAACCUCCCACCCGUGUUUAACGAACAUUGUUGCUUCGUCGGGCCCGUCUCACUGCCCCCGAGAGGCACCUGCCCCCGUGCCCGCGCCCGCCGAAGCCUCCUGUGAACACUGUAUUCAGUAUGCAGUCUUCAACAACUAAUAAAUUAAUUAAAACUUUCAAGAACGGCGCUCCUGAUUCCGGGAUCGAUGAAGAACGCCGCAGAUCGGAAGAGCAAACGUCUAA
rnacentral:misc_RNA from 1 species